rnacentral:rRNA from 1 species
GGACUACUAGGGUAUCUAAUCCUGUUUGCUCCCCAUGCUUUCGAGUCUCAGCGUCAGUUGUCAGCCAGAUAGGCGCCUUCGCCACUGGUGUUCCACCCGAUCUCUACGAAUUUCACCUCUACACCGGGUAUUCCCCUAUCCUCUCCGACACUCAAGCUCGCUAGUUUCCUCUGCACGUUACAGGCUAAGCCCGUAGAUUUCACAGAAGACUUAACAAGCCGCCUACACUCCCUUUACGCCCAAUAAUUCCGAACAACGCUUGCACCCUCUGUAUUACCGCGGCGGCUGGCAC